rnacentral:misc_RNA from 1 species
GAUGAAGAACGUAGCGAAUUGCGAUAUGUAAUGUGAAUUGCAGAUUUUCAGUGAAUCAUCGAAUCUUUGAACGCACAAUGCGCCCCUUGGUAUUCCGAGGGGCAUGCCUGUUCGAGCGUCAUUAUAACCCCUCAAGCUCAGCUUGGUGUUGGGGCCUGCUGCACUGGCAGCCCUUAAAAUCAGUGGCGGCGCCAUCUGGCUCUAAGCGUAGUAAUUCUUCUCGCUAUGGAGUCCUGGUGGAUGCUUGCCAUCAACCCCCAAUUUUUCUAUGGUUGACCUCGGAUCAGGUAGGGAUACCCGCUGAACUUAAGCAUAUCAAUAAGCGGAGGA